AACCUUAUGGACCUGCGGGCGUAUACCUGCGGAGGGAUCAUUACCGAGUUUACAACUCCCAAACCCCUGUGAACAUACCUAUAUGUUGCCUCGGCGGAUCAGCCCGCGCCCCGUAAAACGGGACGGCCCGCCGCAGGAUCCACAAACUCUGUUUUUAUUGUAACUUCUGAGUAACAAAACAAAUAAAUCAAAACUUUCAGCAACGGAUCU
rnacentral:misc_RNA from 1 species